UGCUUAACACAUGCAAGUCGAACGCUGAAGCCUGCAGCUUGCUGUGGGUGGAUGAGUGGCGAACGGGUGAGUAACACGUGAGUAACCUGCCCCUGACUCUGGGAUAAGCCCGGGAAACUGGGUCUAAUACCGGAUAUGACCAUUCUCCGCAUGGAGUGGUGGUGGAAAGUUUUUCGGUUGGGGAUGGGCUCGCGGCCUAUCAGCUUGUUGGUGGGGUGAUGGCCUACCAAGGCGACGACGGGUAGCCGGCCUGAGAGGGCGACCGGCCACACUGGGACUGAGACACGGCCCACACUCCUACGGGAGGCAGCAGUGGGGAAUAUUGCACAAUGGGGGAAACCCUGAUGCACCGACGCCGCGUGGGGGAUGACGGCCUUCGGGUUGUAAACCUCUUUCAGUAGGGAAGAAGCCUUCGGGUGACGGUACCUGCAGAAGAAGUACCGGCUAACUACGUGCCAGCAGCCGCGGUAAUACGUAGGGUACAAGCGUUGUCCGGAAUUAUUGGGCGUAAAGAGCUCGUAGGUGGUCUGUCACGUCUGCUGUGGAAACGCAAGGCUCAACCUUGCGCGUGCAGUGGGUACGGGCGGACUAGAGUGCAGUAGGGGAGUCUGGAAUUCCUGGU
rnacentral:rRNA from 1 species